GCCCCUAUAGCUCAGUGGACAGAGCAACGGCCUUCUAAGCCGUGGGUCGCAGGUUCGAAUCCUGCUGGGGGCG
rnacentral:tRNA from 1 species